rnacentral:rRNA from 1 species
GAAUUGUAAAUAAUAAAAUCUAGAGUAGUAUUAGUUAAGAUCUUGAAACUCAAAAAAUUUGGCGGUAUUUUAGUCUAUUUAGAGGAACCUGUAGUAUAAUCGAUAAUCCACGAUGGACCUCACUUAAUUUUGUUUUUCAGUUUGUAUACCGCUGUUAUUUGAAAAUUUUAUAAGAAUAUUAAUUUUCAUAAUUUUUAAUUAAAAAAUAAAUCAGGUCAAGGUGCAGCUUAUGAUUAAGUAUUUAUGGGUUACAAUAAAUUUAUUUAUAUGAAUUAAGGCAUGAAAAUUGUUUUUUGAAAGCGGAUUUAAUAGUAAAUUUUUAAAGAUAAAAGAAUUGAUU